rnacentral:rRNA from 1 species
GUGACAAAAUAGCAAUAUUUUCAAGAAACAACUUUUUAAAUUCUAAUUUAAUAGAAGUCAAGUUAUGGUCUGAGAGAUAACUUAAAAAUGGUAAGUUAUUUAGGAACAAGAUAAAAGGCAAAACACCAAACUUCAUACAAACUUAAAUGUUUGACAUUUAAAAAUUAAAGAGAUUUUUUUUAACGUGUAUUUGAGACAAAUAAGCCAACCUUGGUACAUAACCGCUGAAAACUAAAAAACCGUACCCUAAACCAACACAGGUGGAUAGGUCGAGUAGACUAAGGUGUAUGAGAUAAUUAUGUUGAAGGAACUCGGCAAAAUGACUCUGUAACUUCGGGAGAAAGAGUACCUUUUUAUUUA